GGGGAACUAACCACCAGUUGUUCAUGCAAAGACGUUGGGAGCUUUGAUAACACACUUGAAGGGAGAACAGACGGGAAGGACUAAAAUGGCGAACAACAGUUCGGGAUGUGAAAAUAUAACAGGUCCACAGUUGAACAACUCAGAGUUUUCAAGCAUGGAAAUUUUCAAUAUAUUCAUAUACUUUGUCGUCCUUGCUCUGGGUUUUGUUGGAAACGGGCUUGUCAUAUAUGUGACUGGCUACAAAAUGAAGACGACCGUAAACUCCAUUUGGUUUCUCAGCUUGGCGAUUGCGGACUUCAUCUUCAUCUUAAUCCUCAUCCUCUACAUAGUUCAUGCCUUUAACAAGAAGUGUUGGCUCUUUGGUGACUUCAUGUGCAAGUUUGCUAACUUUGUGACGGUGCUAAACAUGUUUGCAAGCAUUUUUUUGCUCACUGCCAUCAGUCUGGACCGAUGCCUGUCCACCUGGGUGAUUGUUUGGGCUCAAAACAAACGAACUCUGGUCAAAGCCAGGAUCAUCUGUACACUCAUGUGGGUUUUAGCCAUUUGCUGCAGCAUCCCAUUUGUCAUGUGCCGCUCAGGAGAGAAUUACAAAUGUGCCUAUGUUUGCAAUAUAAGCAUCACAAAGUCUCUGUUCAUAUACAGGUUUAUAGUGGGCUUUCUCAUCCCCUUUCUGAUCAUUGCAUCUUCAUACAUUGCUAUCGGAGUGCGGGCCAAACGUCUCAAAAGAGGAAAGAAGCUAAAGCCUUUCCGGGUCAUUAUAUCUGUAAUCCUGGCCUUUUUCAUAUGCUGGUUUCCUUUUCAUGUUCAACAACUGUCUCUCGUAAUUGCAAACGAAAAUGGGUGGAAGGAAACUGAAAAAGUAAUCAAUCAAAUGGCUCCAUUUGUUAGCUGCCUGGUUCAUCUCAACAGCUGUCUGAACCCCAUUCUCUAUGUGUUCAUGUGCGAGGAGUUUAAAAUGAAGCUUAAACAAUCUCUGCUGCUGGUGCUGGAGACGGCUUUUGCUGAGGAUCAUCAGUCUUUCCGAACAUCUCGCGCUUCCACAUGUUCACGCCUCUCAGAGUCACAAGGUCUCAAACAGAAUAAUGAAACAACCAUCUCAUCAUGCGGCAGCGGCCAGGACAGCAAUACUUGCUGCUAGAAAAGCAGUCUCAGAGAUAUUCAUUCCCCAUGUUAGACUGAAAUGAUCUGAGAAAGUGUUUUAGCAAGCUCGUGCCGCAUUACGUUGACGGUUGAUGAUGCCUGCCAUCUCAUUCCAGAGGUUCAAAACCAUAUUGUUUCAAAGACAGUCUUAAGGUUUAAAUGUUGCAAUUUAUGUACCAUCAUUGUCAUCAAACUAAAAACAAUGACUUUUCAUUGUUGACUCUGACAUGCCCCCAUUUUCCACUGGCUGGAACAACUGAUAGCCACGCCCCAAACUCACGCCAUUGGUCAGGACAAUGUUGCUGCUUAUAGUUUGGUUAAAAAUUGUUUGUGUUGUUUAUGUUUUUAAUGGAAAGUCUACAAAUGAUUUAUUUUAUACUUGACUUUGACUUUGCUUAUUAAAGUGGCUUUGUAGAAAUAUUUUAACAUUAUAAAAUAUUUUCAAUAUAUCUUGUCACUGGCUUGUUUUACACAAAAGUUUAGCCACAUUGUAAUACUGUUAAUAAAAAGCUCUAAUAUAUUUUGCUAACGUGUAUUUAAUCAACAAAACUGAAGAUAUUCUGUCUGA